rnacentral:rRNA from 1 species
CACGAUUAACAAUUGGAGGGCAAGCCUGGUGCCAGCAGCCGCGGUAACUCCAGCUCCAAUAGCGUAUAUUAAAGUUGUUGCGGUUAAAAAGCUCGUAGUUGAAUCUGUGUCCCACACUGUCGGUUCACCGCUCGCGGUGUCCAACUGGCAUGUCUGUGGGACGUCCUGCCGGUGGGCGCAGCCCCUCAAAAGGCGGCCCAACUCAAAAUCCUACCACGGUGCUCUUCACCGAGUGUCGAGGUGGGCCGGUACGUUUACUUUGAACAAAUUAGAGUGCUUAAAGCAGGCUCAUUCGCCUGAAUAUUCUGUGCAUGGAAUAAUGGAAUAGGACCUCGGUUCUAUUUUGUUGGUUUUCGGAACUCCGAGGUAAUGAUUAAUAGGGACAACUGGGGGCAUUCGUAUUGCGACGUUAGAGGUGAAAUUCUUGGAUCGUCGCAAGACGGACAGAAGCGAAAGAAAUGUGUUUUCAUCAAUCAAGAACGAAAGUUAGAGGUUCGAAGGCGAUCAGAUACCGCCCUAGUUCUAACCAUAAACGAUGCCAGCUAGCGAUCCGCCGAAGUUCCUCCGAUGACUCGGCGGGCAGCUUCCGGGAAACCAAAGCUUUUGGGUUCCGGGGGAAGUAUGGUUGCAAAGCUGAAACUUAAAGGAAUUGACGGAAGGGCACCACCAGGAGUGGAGCCUGCGGCUUAAUUUGACUCAACACGGGG